GCGGAACUUGAAGAUAGGUUAUCCGUGUAGCCUUCGCUUUACUUGUGACGAAUCAUACACGGUUCACCUAUUUUUUAGUACCAA
rnacentral:pre_miRNA from 3 species